GAGCCUAUAGUUUAUUCUGGUUAGAGCAACUGACUCAUAAUCAGUGGGUGCUUGGUUCAAUUCCAAGUGGGGUCC
rnacentral:tRNA from 1 species